GCCAGGCAUGGUGGCGCAUGCCUGUAAUCCCAGCUACUCGGGAGGCUGAGGCAGGAGAAUCGCUUGAACCUGGGAGGCAGAGGUUGCAGUGAGCCAAGACUGCACCACUGCACUCCAGCCUGGGUGAUGGAGCGAGCCUCUGUCUCAA
rnacentral:SRP_RNA from 1 species